AGAGAGAGAGGGUAUUUACCCUGCGGAAAGUGGCCUCACAAAACCCACGUCCUCUCCCUCGCUUUGACCCUCUCUCUCUCUCUCUCUCUCGCUCGUCGUCUUCUUCUUAGUACUCCCUCUGUGCUCUCUGCAGCCUGCGCGCAGAGACACAGGAGAGAGAGAGAGAGAGAGAGGAGAGAGGGACUGAGAGAGACCCUCCUCGUCGUCUUCUUCUUAGUACUCCCUCUGCCUGCACUCUGCAGCCUGCUCGCGCAGAGAGAGAGAGAGAGAGAGGGGGAGAGGGUGGGGGCGUGUGGGUCAAAGCGAAAAGAUCAGUGUGAAAUCUCUGUCGUUACGGGGGAAUAAACCUGGGGCUCAUACAUUAUGUCUCCCGGAGCUCCAUUUAUUAAAGCUCGCGGCCAUGGCCUCUGUUCCUUCCCAUGCAAGCUCACGACUUUCUGGGAGAAUCCCUUCUCUUCUCCGAGGUCCCGAGAUGGCAGUAGUUUCUGCUUUGCAAUUUCGAGUGGUUCAACCAGCAUAUGUGACCAUAUUUCUCAUCCUCUAUAGUGCUCCUGGAGUAUGUUCUAGAUAAGUAUGUAGUGUAUGUAGUAGGGAAUGAAGCUGUUGGUCCGUCGAGCAUUUUAUUUGCCCUAUCAUGUCGACUAUUACUCUGAGGGAUUCAAAACCCUUAAGAUGGUCUGAAUGUGUGUGCUGAAUUGAAAUGCCGAGAGCUUUGUGGGGUUAUCAUUUUUUUGUGACUCUAUCAACUAUACUUGACAAUUUUGUAUAGGUUUCAAUUUUGAAUGAUGCAUUAAAUCUCCUUUGCUACCAUGGCUGAAGUUCAUGAUGUGCAAGUUAUCGA